rnacentral:rRNA from 1 species
GAUGAACGCUGGCGGCGUGCUUAACACAUGCAAGUCGAACGGGCUCAUAUUGAAACCUAGUGAUGUAUGAGUUAGUGGCGGACGGGUGAGUAACGCGUGGAGAACCUGCCGUAUACUGGGGGAUAACACUUAGAAAUAGGUGCUAAUACCGCAUAAGCGCACAGCUUCGCAUGAAGCAGUGUGAAAAACUGAGGUGGUAUACGAUGGUUCCGCGUCUGAUUAGCUAGUUGGUGGGGUAAAAGCCUACCAAGGCAACGAUCAGUAGCCGGCCUGAGAGGGUGAACGGCCACAUUGGGACUGAGACACGGCCCAA